UUGAAUCCAAUAUGGUGGGACAUGGCCGUCGAAAUUGGCAGUAGAUGUUGUGGUUACUGCGGGGAAAUUAUAGUUUGCUUCAGCACAAGGCUCGGAACUAAAUAGCCCCUCAGCUUCUCUGUAACUUUCUAUCGCUCAGUAAUGUUUAGAAAUAAGAUGGAAGGAAGAGAGGCCGCAAAACAUAGAAAUGAAGACCAUGUUUCCCAAGUACAUGCCAGAUGUCAACUUGUCAGCAAGAGAUUGCUGGUGGAAGCAAGCGAUAAAGAUUGGGCCUAAGAGAGCAUCAAGAAGGAAAGGCAUGAGAAAUUUACUGUUUGUCAGAGGAACAAAAGCUGCAACAGUAAUUACAUCGAGAAAAGGCUCAUCCUAUACCGUUGAGUAAGGUUUGCUCGAUAAAGAAGCCAUUUCAAGACUGGCGUCGCGUGUUCCUCAGGUUUCUUCGACAACCCAGCGCUGGACACCAAGGCACACGAUCACUUUAGGCAUGAGACUAGAGACAAAUAUCAAUCUUGGAAAGAAAGUAAAAUUGGACCGACCCCCACUUCAGAGAAUAAAAUGAAAAAUUGGGGGUCGAUCCGUCCACCAUCCCCCACC